rnacentral:rRNA from 1 species
AUUGAACGCUGGCGGCAGGCCUAACACAUGCAAGUCGAGCGAGCGGCGGACGGGUGAGUAAUGUCUGGGGAUCUGCCCGAUAGAGGGGGAUAACUACUGGAAACGGUGGCUAAUACCGCAUACUAUCGGAUGUACCCAUAUGGGAUUAGCUAGUAGGUGGGGUAAAGGCUCACCUAGGCGACGAUCUCUAGCUGGUCUGAGAGGAUGAUCAGCCAAACGGGAACUGAGACACGGCCCAGACUCCUACGGGAGGCAGCAGUGGGGAAUAUUGCACAAUGGGCGCAAGCCUGAUGCAGCCAUGCCGCGUGUAUGAAGAAUGCCUUAGGGUUGUAAAGAACUUUCAGAGGGGAGGCGUUACCCGCAGAAGAAGCACCGGCUAACUCCGUGCCAGCAGCCGCGGUAAUAC